AUCUGAGAUGAACAGCCCAGGUUAGGUGUGAACAUCACUGAUGCUUCCUGGAGGGGUUUUCACAGCAGAGUCAUCAUGUGGAGUAGAUGUGUAAAGUACAUAAUUUAUGUUUGUGUUGGGGGUGAGGGCUUCUAAGGGUAAAGUGCUCUCUGUAGAACAGUGAAACUGUCUUGAAUUCAACAAAUGAAAGAUUCAAGCAUUCAGCCUGAAACUGAAAAGAGCCCUCUGGAUAAAAGGAAAAAUGAAUCUGCGUCUUCAAGGUGGAAGAUC